UCCACCUGGCUUACCUCUUCAGUUGUUUGUUUAGGCUUGUAUUGUCUAAGCUAGACUACGGGUUUCCUGUGUUGCCUACCUAAGUUAUGGUAUUGUCCCGGUCGAUGAUAGUCGCUUUCGUCUUGUGUCAUACUCAUGGCAUUAGAUGAACCAUGAAGCAGUCUUUUUUGAUCCACACUGUUAAUGCUUGCAUUGAUGUUGUGGCCCAUUGAGCAUUGCUUGGUAUCUUGGAUAUGGAACAUCAUGUGGGCAUGGGUUCUCUCAAGAGAUCCUUGUUUUGCCUUCGGUUAGCGUUCGCACGUCUCUUAAUACGACUUUCCCAGCCCGCAUUGGCUCGUACCAGCGGGUGGGUUAUGUCAAAGAGUUGUGCAUAUCUUCGAAUGACCGCCCAGCCCGCAUUGGCUCGUACCAGCGGGUGGGUUAUGUCAAAGAGGAAUGCUACCUGGUUGAUCCUGCCAGUAGUCAUAUGCUUGUCU
rnacentral:misc_RNA from 1 species